rnacentral:rRNA from 1 species
CACGUAGGGCGCAAGCGUUGUCCGGAAUUAUUGGGCGUAAAGAGCUCGUAGGCGGUCUGUUGCGUCUGCUGUGAAAACUCGGGGCUUAACCCCGAGCCUGCAGUGGAUACGGGCAGACUAGAGGUAGGUAGGGGAGAAUGGAAUUCCAGGUGUAGCGGUGAAAUGCGUAGAUAUCUGGAGGAACACCGGUGGCGAAGGCGGCAUCCUGGACCGGCAUUGACGCUGAUGAGCGAAAGCUAGGGGAGCAAACGGGG